UGUCUCAGUGGUAGAGUGCUUGCCUUGAAUGCAUGAAGCCCUGAGUUCAAUUCCUCAG
rnacentral:tRNA from 1 species